UCAGUGUGAUAAGCAUCUUCACUGAUAUAAGCUCCCUCUGGGACACGUCUGUGUUGGUGGGCUCUGUGCUUCCAACUGUCUAUGGACAACUUUGACAAUUUGACCUCAAAUCGGGUGGGACUACCCGCUGAACUUAAGCAUAUCAAUAAGCGGAGGAAAAGAAACUAACAAGGAUUCCCCUAGUAACGGCGAGUGAAGAGGGAAGAGCUCAAAUUUUGAAUCUGGUGUCUUUGUCACCCGAGUUGUAAUCUAGAGAAGUGUUUUCUGCCUUGGACCACGCAUAAAUUCCCUGGAAUGGGGUGUCAAAGAGGGUGAGAAUCCCGUUUGUGGUGUGGACUCCCUUGGCUUUGUGAUACACUCUCAACGAGUCGAGUUGUUUGGGAAUGCAGCUCAAAAUGGGUGGUAAAUUCCAUCUAAAGCUAAAUAUUGGCGAGAGACCGAUAGCGAACAAGUACCGUGAGGGAAAGAUGAAAAGCACUUUGGAAAGAGAGUGAAACAGUACGUGAAAUUGUUGAAAGGGAAGCGUUUGAAGUCAGUCGCAUCUGCCAGAACUCAGCCUUGCUUCUGCUUGGUGUACUUUCUGGUUGAUGGGUCAGCAUCAAUUUCGAUCAAGGGAGAAAGGCUUGGGGAAUGUGACUGCCUCCGGGCAGUGUUAUAGCCCCUUGUUGUAUGUCUUGGUUGGGAUUGAGGAAUGCAGCGCGCCUUUUGGCCGGGGUUCGCGCCCUCGGUACGCGCUUAGGAUGCUGGCAUAAUGGCUUUAAGCGACC
rnacentral:rRNA from 1 species